rnacentral:sRNA from 1 species
CUUGGUCAUUUAGAGGAAGUAAAAGUCGUAACAAGGUCUCCGUAGGUGAACCUGCGGAGGGAUCAUUACCGAGUGAGGGCCUGCGGCCCGACCUCCAACCCUUUGUGGACCAACACCUGUUGCCUCGGGGGCGACCCGGACGCCGACGCGUCGGCGUCGGGCACCCCGACGGACCAUUUCAACACUGUAUCUGUACGUCGGAGUGAUUAGCGAAUCAAUCAAAACUUUCAACAACGGAUCUCUUGGUUCUGGCAUCGAUGAAGAACGCAGCGAAGUGCGAUAAGUAAUGUGAAUUGCAGAAUUCAGUGAAUCAUCGAAUCUUUGAACGCACAUCGCGCCCUUUGGCAUUCCGAGGGGCAUGCCUGUUCGAGCGUCAUUACACCACUCAAGCCCGGCUUGGUAUUGGGCGGCGGGGCUCCCCCGCGCCUUAAUUUCACCGGCUGGACAACCCGUAUCUCAGCGUUGUGGCAUCAAAUUCGCUGGCGAGAAGGGUGGCCCGUGCCGUUAAAAUUUCCAUCAAGGUUGACCUCGGAUCAGGUAGGGAUACCCGCUGAACUUAAGCAUAUCAAUAAGCGGAGGAAAAGAAACCAACAGGGAUUGCCCUAGUAACGGCGAGUGAAGCGGCAACAGCUCAAAUUUGAAAUCUGGCGCAAGCCCGAGUUGUAAUUUGUAGAGGAUGCUUCGGGGCAGCGGCCGGUCUAAGUUCCUUGGAACAGGACGUCAAAGAGGGUGAGAGUCCCGUACGUGACCGGCUGGCACCCCAUCCGUAGCUCCUUCGACGAGUCGAGUUGUUUGGGAAU